rnacentral:misc_RNA from 1 species
UCUUGUGUUGCAUACCUAACUAAUGGUAUCGUUUUGAUUGAUCGAAGCCUCUUUUCGUCUUGUGUUGCCUUUGUGAUGCAUGAAGAACCUCGAAGCGGUCUCUAUGUUCCACGAUUUUCAAGCUAGUGUUUUGAUUUUGUGGCCCAUUGAGUGUUGCUUGGUUUCGUGGAUACAGAACAUGAUUUGGGCAUAGGGUCCUUGUGACUCUUUUUUUGUCCUCUAUCAGUGUUCUUUAUAAUGACUGUUCAUGCGCGCCUAGGCUCGUACCUGCACGAUGUUCUUUGUCGAAGAGGAAUGCUACCUGGUUGAUCCUGCCAGUAGUCAUAUGCUUG